AUUGAACGCUGGCGGCAUGCCUUACACAUGCAAGUCGAACGGCAGCGGGCCUUCGGGUGCCGGCGAGUGGCGAACGGUGAGUAAUGCAUCGGAACGUGCCAUUGAGUGGGGAUAACGUAGCGAAAGUUACGCUAAUACCGCAUAUUCUGUGAGCAGGAAAGCAGGGGACCGCAAGGCCUUGCGCUCUUUGAGCGGCCGAUGUCAGAUUAGCUAGUUGGUGAGGUAAAGGCUUACCAAGGCGACGAUCUGUAGCGGGUCUAAGAGGAUGAUCCGCCACACUGGAACUGAGACACGGUCCAGACUCCUACGGGAGGCAGCAGUGGGGAAUUUUGGACAAUGGGCGCAAGCCUGAUCCAGCCAUGCCGCGUGAGUGAAGAAGGCCUCGG
rnacentral:rRNA from 1 species